AACAAAUCAACUUUUCAGUUUUUAAAUAUAAUAUUUAACUCUUUGUCUUAUUUAAAAUAUAUGAUUAAUAAUUUUAUUUUUAUUAGAUGAUAAAAUAUGAAUAGUACUUUAUGUGUGACUAAUUUUUUUAAAAUUUCUUAAAAUUUUUUCAAAUAAGACGAAUGGUCAAAUGUUCGAGACAAAAACCGA
rnacentral:pre_miRNA from 1 species